UACAUCACUGCCCUUACUGACCUGGGCUACACACGUGCUACAAUGGGCGGUACAAAGGGUCGCGAACCCGCGAGGGGGAGCCAAUCCCAAAAAGCCGCUCUCAGUUCGGAUUGCAGGCUGCAACUCGCCUGCAUGAAGCCGGAAUCGCUAGUAAUCGCGGAUCAGCAUGCCGCGGUGAAUACGUUCCCGGGCCUU
rnacentral:rRNA from 1 species